rnacentral:tRNA from 1 species
GGAGGACUUUUAGUUUUAUGUAGAAUACUGUUUUUGUAAAACAGUGGUGUUUGUUUUUUAAUCAAGGUCCUUCU